CAAUAGCGUAUAUUUAAGUUGCUGCAGUUAAAAAGUUCGUAGUUGGAUUUCGGGUGGGAAUGGCCGGUCCGCCGUUUCGGUGUGCACUUGCUACGCCCACCUUGCUGCCGGGGGCGUGCUCUUGAGUUCACGCUCGGGACACGGAGUCGGCGAGGUUACUUUGAGUAAAUUAGAGUGUUCAAAGCAGGCCUACGCUCUGAAUACAUUAGCAUGGAAUAACACGAUAGGACUCUGGCCUAUCUUGUUGGUCUGUAGGACCGGAGUAAUGAUUAAGAGGGACAGUCGGGGGCAUUCGUAUUUCAUUGUCAGAGGUGAAAUUCUUGGAUUUAUGAAAGACGAACUACUGCGAAAGCAUUUGCCAAGGAUGUUUUCAUUAA
rnacentral:rRNA from 1 species